UUACUUCGUACCUUAACACUCUUUUACGUACGAAGAAUGGCUGAUAGAUGAAGCAAAAGGGUAUCUCAAACUGUACGAAGGUUGACACGCUAAAUCAGGAAAUUGAUCUUCUAAAUCAUCCAACUUGCGCAGUUGCUGUCUAAGGGAUUCCAGUGGACUUGACCAACCCUCGCCACGCCUGGAAUAUUAUGGAAUAUCUACAUAUCUACUAAUGCUCAAAAUACAAAUAAGUUAUGUAAUUAAGGAAGUUUAAAUUUUUUUGAUUUGCACUUAAACUUGGUGUUAUUUGGGUUAGUUUUGUUUGUUGAUAGAUUAGCUGAAUCUACUAUCUUAAAAUGUGUUAAUUAAAUUUUGCGUAAAAAUG